CAGUAACGGCGAGUGAAGCGGCAACAGCUCAAAUUUGAAAGCUGGCCCCCCCGGGGGUCCGCGUUGUAAUUUGUAGAGGAUGAUUCGGCGAGGGCUCCCGCCUAAGUCCCCUGGAACGGGGCGUCAUAGAGGGUGAGAAUCCCGUAUGCGGUGGGCUGCCUUAGCCAUGUGAAUCUCCUUCGACGAGUCGAGUUGUUUGGGAAUGCAGCUCUAAAUGGGAGGUAAAUUUCUUCUAAAGCUAAAUACCGGCCAGAGACCGAUAGCGCACAAGUAGAGUGAUCGAAAGAUGAAAAGCACUUUGGAAAGAGAGUUAAAAAGUACGUGAAAUUGUUGAAAGGGAAGCGCUUGCAGCCAGACUUGUCCGCAGUUGCUCAGCCGGUCUCCUGACCGGCGCACUCUUCUGCGGCCAGGCCAGCAUCAGUUCGGGCGGUCGGAUAAAGGCCCCGGGAACGUAGCUCCUCUCGGGGAGUGUUAUAGCCCGGGGUGGAAUGCGGCCAGCCUGGACUGAGGAUCUCGCUUCGGCUAGGAUGCUGGCGUAAUGGCUGUAAGCGGCCCGUCUUGAAACACGGACCAAGGAGUCUAACAUCUAUGCGAGUGUUUGGGUGUCAAACCCAUGCGCGUAAUGAAAGUGAACGGAGGUGGGAACCCUCGCGGGUGCACCAUCGACCGAUCCUGAUGUCUUCGGAUGGAUUUGAGUAAGAGCAUAGCUGUUGGGACCCGAAAGAUGGUGAACUAUGCCUGAAUAGGGUGAAGCCAGAGGAAACUCUGGUGGAGGCUCGCAGCGGUUCUGACGUGCAAAUCGAUCGUCAAAUUUGGGUAUAGGGGCGAAAGACUAAUCGAACCAUCGACUACUAGGUGGUUAAGAGGUGGCUGAAAGUGCCCACCUAGUCCCCCCGUCCUCGGACGGGGGGGCGACAUCGCCAAAUUGCGGGGACUCCCUUAGAGCCUCUACUACCGCGGCCGGCCGAAAGGCGCGGUGCAGCACCGGGUUAAUUGCCUAGGGUACGGUAAAAAGGUAGAGGAUUGGGAAAUCCGCAGCCAAGCGCCUAAGUCCCGCGGGAUACGGCGAAGGUUCAGAGACUAGAUGGCGGUGGGUCCGGCCCGAGGGCCGGGCCUAAGGUAUAGUCCACCCCCCGCGGAGACCCGGGCGGAUCCAUGCUAUAACUUGUUCG
rnacentral:sRNA from 1 species